AUGGUUUAUGGCACUGUAGAUGAUAGUAAGAAGGAUGAUUUCCUGUCAGUAAUAGCUAGGACGGUGCCGUCAACAAGCGAUCCAUGGCUCAUCAAUGGCGACUUUAUCCUUAUAUACAAAGCCAGAGACAAGCACAACAGUAACAUCAACCGUAGAUUGAUGGGGAAAUUCCGGGCUGCGAUCGACGCCGCAGGCCUCCGAGAGAUUAGAUGCAAAAACCGUAGAUUCACGUGGAGCAAUGAGCGUGAGGACCCAACCCUAGUUAGCACCGAUAAGUUUUUCUGCAACAAUGCAUGGGAUAUCCUCUUCCCGUCCUUCCUCUUCCACGCCACUUCGAUCUCCUGA
rnacentral:rRNA from 1 species